UGCGCCGAGCCGUCGAUGUGGGAGUCGGUGGGUUCUUUGGUGUGCGCGCGUCUUCGGACUGAAAACGAUCAGGUCGAGGCGGGUUGUUGGAGAGCGGUGGGCCCGACCGACGGAACUGGGAGAUUUAAUGAACAUCUUGCGUAAGCCGCAAAGGAAAUGAUCGUUUCCCGAUUUACACGGAGCGAAGGCGAAUUACGAAUUGGAGGCUUCCGACCGAACGAUAUCACAUGGACGUUUGUGGGCACGAAACCGAAACCAAACAUCACCUGACAGAAUCACUUCGUGAAUAUCGUCGGCCUUCGAAAGUAAGUGCUGUAUUCCAGAUCAUUAUCAUGUGCUGCACAGAAGUUUUUCUCAUUAUCCUCCCUGUGACUCUUCACCAAAAUCUUCAAUCAUUCUGUGUCCCAAAAUCUUUUUCUAUGACCAGCUAACAGGAAUAACGUUUCCUCAUCUACUACGUAUUAAUCUUUCAUAAAUAAAUGUCAUCAUUGCUCAAUCUA